rnacentral:rRNA from 1 species
AUGUUUAAUAACCGUUAUUAACGUAUCGCGUUAUUUAAUACAUCGAGUGUUAAAUAUGCUAGUCCUUUCAUGAUUAUGUGAUAGGUGGUGCAUGGCCGUUCUUAGUUCGUGGAGUGAUCUGUCUGCUUAAUUGCGUUUCACUAAGGGCCCAUAAAUUCAAGGUAUGUUAGCUAUCGUCGCUCUAUGGACCCCUUAACCGAGUUAAAUCGAGUUAAGCGCGCGUCUUUAUUUAAAGAGUUUAAGACAUUGCCAUGCUGUUGGGCUCUGAAAGCAACGAACGUGACCGCAACGUCUUGUUGCCUUAAUAAAGUUGUGUUAAUAGCAAUUGCUAUUAACCGCUUACCGAGGCUAUUUAAACUAGACGGACGGCUGUUCUUUUCUAAACCAAAGG